GACGAACGCUGGCGGCGUGCUUAACACAUGCAAGUCGAACGAGAAUCUACUGAAAGAGUUUUCGGACAAUGGAUGUAGAGGAAAGUGGCGGACGGGUGAGUAACGCGUGAGGAACCUGCCUUGAAGAGGGGGACAACAGUUGGAAACGACUGCUAAUACCGCAUGACGCAUAGAGGUCGCAUGAUCUUUAUGCCAAAGAUUUAUCGCUUCAAGAUGGCCUCGCGUCUGAUUAGCUGGUUGGCGGGGUAACGGCCCACCAAGGCGACGAUCAGUAGCCGGCCUGAGAGGGUGAACGGCCACAUUGGGACUGAGACACGGCCCAAACUCCUACGGGAGGCAGCAGUGGGGAAUAUUGCACAAUGGGGGAAACCCUGAUGCAGCAACGCCGCGCGAGUGAAGAAGUAUUUCGGUAUGUAAAGCUCUAUCAGCAGGAAAGAAAAUGACGGUACCUGACUAAGAAGCCCCGGCUAACUACGUGCCAGCAGCCGCGGU
rnacentral:rRNA from 1 species